rnacentral:rRNA from 1 species
UUGACAUACUAAGAACUUUCCAGAGAUGGAUUGGUGCCUUCGAGAACUUAGAUACAGGUGCUGCAUGGCUGUCGUCAGCUCGUGUCGUGAGAUGUUGGGUUAAGUCCCGCAACGAGCGCAACCCUUUUCCUUAUUUGCCAGCGGGUCAUGCCGGGAACUUUAAGGAUACUGCCAGUGACAAACUGGAGGAAGGCGGGGACGACGUCAAGUCAUCAUGGCCCUUACGGCCAGGGCUACACACGUGCUACAAUGGUCGGUACAAAGGGUUGCUACCUCGCGAGAGGAUGCUAAUCUCAAAAAGCCGAUCGUAGUCCGGAUCGCAGUCUGCAACUCGACUGCGUGAAGUCGGAAUCGCUAGUAAUCGCGGAUCAGAAUGCCGCGGUGAAUACGUUCCCGGGCCUUGUACACACCGCCCGUCACACCAUGGGAGUUUGUUGCACCAGAAGUAGGUAGUCUAACCGCAAGGAGGACGCUUACCACGGUGUGGCCGAUGACUGGGGGUGAAGUCGUAACAAGGUAGGCGUAGAUGA